UUGGAAGAGUUCGAGAGGGAGGAGGCUUCUCUUCUGGAUAAAAACAAAUUUGAAACCUUGGUUUGUCAGCUGGCAAGAGUGGGUGGGAAAGAUGUAAAGGACUGCACGCACAAAGUGAUGGACAGGCUCUUCACCAACAACCUAAAGACACUGUUUAAUUUGA